rnacentral:lncRNA from 1 species
CUUCUCUCCAUUUGAUACAUUGCCUUUUAUUGUUCUGCUCUGUGCAGCUUCGAGCUGGAUGUUCAAUCCACAGGCAGCAUUUUUGGAAGGUGAUGCAAAUUAAUUCCUCAGACAUUUCACUGAAGAGUACAGAACAUCCAGAAUUCUUUGGUUUGGAAACCACAGAAAAGGCAACAACAUGGAAAGCAUAACAGGUCAUUGUGCUGUCUGCUGGACUGGUUCAAACACAAACCUCUGUAUCACUUCCAUCUGAUACAGCUUCAACACUGGAAUGAACUACAGACUGCACAGACCUUACCUUCAUAAACUUAAAUUUUGGAACAGACCACCACUACUUUAAAGCCUGGGAAACUACUAAGUGCUUAAAGUGACUGGUGCGUAACAGUUAUUACCUCUGUAUUUAUGAUGAUUGUUGUUGUUUUUGACAGCUUGUGCUAGGAAGUAGAAUGUGUCCGUAGGAUUUAGAACUCUACUUUCCAUACAAAAAAGAUCGCUGUGAACCCAGAGCUUUGGGUCACUGUGUUCUGAUUAUCCUCAACACCAGACACUGUAGACAGAAACCACAGCAGAAGUCUAUCAGUCACUUAACCUAGUAGCUCACCAAAACAGCUGCUUUGCAGCUUGCCCACAGUCUGCAUUCUGCACAUCCUUACUGCCCAUUAGACUUCUAAAUCAAAUGCUGGAGUGGACUAGCUGGACGGGAUUUACAUAAAAUCUCAAUCAAAUUCACAGCAGCACACCUUUCUCUUUGGUAAUUAGAUUCAGUUUCGUUUUUGGUUUUCUGAACCCUAUAACCCAUUUCUUUAUGAUGUCUUAGCAAUUUUCAUUAGCAAGUGAAUUUCUAUGCAUCACUUUUAAAAAGCACCAGCUGCACCAAUAAAAAUGUACAUCCAUUCACUGAACAGUCAGAAAAUCCAAGUGCAUAUUAAUACAUCCAUACUCAUUGAGCUCCCAAGCACACCUAAAUAACUAUCGCUUGUCCCUGAUUUCUAAUGCAAUGUCCCACAUAAUGCUGAUGGAAAUGUAAUAGGGGGGCACAAAGCUGGGUGAAAACCA